rnacentral:rRNA from 1 species
AGAGUUUGAUCCUGGCUCAGAAUCAACGCUGGCGGCGUGCCUCAGACAUGCAAGUCGAACGAUUAAACUUUCCUUUCGGGAAAGAUAUAAAGUGGCGCACGGGUGAGUAACACGUAGGUAAUGUACCUUUGGGUGGGGAAUAACUUAGGGAAACUUAAGCUAAUACCGCAUAAUGCAGCGGCUCCUUCGGGAGACAGUUGUUAAAGAUUUAUCGCCUAAAGAGCAGCCUGCGGCAGAUUAGCUAGUUGGUAAGGUAACGGCUUACCAAGGCUACGAUCUGUAUCCGACCUGAGAGGGUGGUCGGACACACUGACACUGAAUAACGGGUCAGACUCCUACGGGAGGCAGCAGUCGGGAAUUUUGGGCAAUGGGCGAAAGCCUGACCCAGCAACGCCGCGUGAAGGAUGAAGUCUCUCGGGAUGUAAACUUCGUAAGAAUAGGAAGAAUAAAUGACGGUACUAUUUGUAAGGUCCGGCUAACUACGUGCCAGCAGCCGCGGUAAUACGUAGGGACCAAGCGUUGUUCGGAUUUACUGGGCGUAAAGGGCGCGUAGGCGGCAAUUCAAGUCAGUUGUGAAAUCUCCGAGCUUAACUCGGAACGGUCAACUGAUACUGCUUUGCUAGAGUACAGAAGGGGCAAUCGGAAUUCUUGGUGUAGCGGUGAAAUGCGUAGAUAUCAAGAGGAACACCUGAGGUGAAGACGGGUUGCUGGGCUGAUACUGACGCUGAGGCGCGAAAGCUAGGGUAGCAAACGGGAUUAGAUACCCCGGUAGUCCUAGCCCUAAACGAUGAAUACUUGGUGUCUGGAGUUUUAUUCUCCGGGUGCCGUCGCUAACGUUUUUAGUAUUCCGCCUGGGGAGUACGCACGCAAGUGUGAAACUCAAAGGAAUUGACGG